ensembl:snoRNA SNORA75 Small nucleolar RNA SNORA75
GACUUGUCAUUGAGCUCCUUUCUGUCUCUUGGUAGCAGUUUAUGGAUUUGCACAAGAAGAAGAUGAAUUCACAGAACUAGCAUUAUUUUACCUUUUUCCUUCACAGAAGCGUAUCUGGCUAUUUUGUGAGGCAUUC